UACGUAGGGUGCGAGCGUUAAUCGGAAUUACUGGGCGUAAAGCGUGCGCAGGCGGCUUUGCAAGACAGAGGUGAAAUCCCCGGGCUCAACCUGGGAACUGCCUUUGUGACUGCAAGGCUAGAGUACGGCAGAGGGGGAUGGAAUUUCGCGUGUAGCAGUGAAAUGCGUAGAUAUGCGGAGGAACACCGAUGGCGAAGGCAAUCCCCUGGGCCUGUACUGACGCUCAUGCACGAAAGCGUGGGGAGCAAACAGG
rnacentral:rRNA from 1 species